GGAAAUUGGGAUCCGGACACACAGAGGGAAGACCAUGUGAAGACGCAGGGAGAAGAUGGCCGUCUGCAAGCCAAAGGGAGAGGUCUCAAGAGGAACAACCCUGCUGACACCUUGAUCUUGAACUUAUGGGAAGCCUGAGGCUCAGAGGGCGUGGAACACGUCAAGGGACACAGCAGAGUGAGGACACACACCCAGGCCUGUGGAUCGCCUCCUGGGUCCUGAAGGCAGGGAACACGGGUUCGAGCCCUGGUCUGGGAAGAUCCCACAUGCCGCGGAGCAACUAGCCCGUGAGCCACAAUUACUGAGCCUGCACGUCUGGAGCCUGUGCUCCCCAACAAGAGAGGCCGCGACAGUGAAAGGCCCGCGCACCGCGAUGAAGAGUGGUCCCCACUUGCUGCAACUAGAGAAAGCCCUCACACAGAAACGAAGACCUAAC